rnacentral:lncRNA from 1 species
GAGUGAGAGAGGGAAGAAAGAAUCCAGACUGCACUGCCCUGCCGACUUGGGCUGCUAAUCUCUAACCCUUAAAAGGGGAGGCAUUUUGAAUCCUGGUUUCUUAAAUUCUCCCUUCGCUUGUGACUGAGGAGCCCUGGACUUUGGAGAAACUCUUUGGUCCUAAUUUCCACACUGAUUAGUCAACAGUGGAAAAUCUGAAGAGAUGCAAGUAGGAAAAAGAAACUAAACCAGGUCUGAGGAGCAAUGCGAUAGGCAUGAUGGAGGUUGAGUCCUCCUACUCAGAUUUCAUUUCCUGUGACCGGACAGGCCGUCGAAACGCGGUCCCUGACAUCCAGGGGGAUUCCGAGGCUGUGAGCGUGAGGAAGCUGGCUGGAGACAUGGGCGAGCUGACACUUGAGGGAGCAGGACAGACAGAAGUGGGCACCCCAGACAAGGAAGCUAGCAACCAGCCCGAGAGCAGCGAUGGGACCACCUCGUCUUGAGUCGGACUUUGCCCAUGGAGGAUGGAAAAGAGACCUACUGUCCUCACCGGGACAGGGAGCCCUGGCACUGGCCUGGCAGUCUCUUCUCUGAGCCCCUGUCCCAGGCAGGCCAGGCCAGAGUGAAAAGGCACCCCGAGAGGCCACCGUGGCCCCUGCCCUGGCAAGCCCUCCACCUGCACCCUCAGGCUGCACUGGCCCACCUCCUCCUCACUGUGCCCAGGUACACUUUCGAGGCCCUGUAGCUGUGGGGUGUUAUUUAUUCAGCAGGCACCUGAGUGAGCAGCCCCCUCAAGAACGCAUCUCCACAGGUGGCCUGGGCAACAGCCACAGCCCAGCUCUGCCCCCCUCUCCAAGCCCAACCUUCUGGGUCAAGAUCUUCACAUCCCUUUUUUAAAAAACACUUUUAAACUUUUUAAAAACUUUAAACCUUUUUUCAGCAGAGAGGGAGAGAGCUGGCUUUUUUGGGGGGGCGGGGGGCAGGGGAGGCAUUAUAAGCUAAACUGACCUUCUAUGCAGCUCUGCGUCCUCUCAUGGAACUCCACAGAUCCAUUUCUAGGGAAGGGGUUUUGUGCUCAAAACUGUCUGACCAACUCUUUGCCCUUUCUACCAAGAUAAGUGACACCUAGGACCCAGGAAAUAAAUGCUGAUGAUUUGUG